ACUUUAUUAGGUGAAUGGCUGUCUCACUGAAUCUUUCAGAAGGCCCUAUGUGGCACAAACCCAAAUGUCCAGUAACUGGGCAAGAGUAGAAGUGUUUGUAGAAGAGAUGAAAGAUGCCUGUCCGGGAAUCCCACUGUGAAAGACUGAGCUACUGAAUGCAUCACUUUCCAAACAAGGAAACAAACAUGAGACAAUUUAUGCCCAAUCUGAAGACUGAUGAGCCUCAGUGUUCCCUAGUAAAGGUACCAUACUGUCCCUUCAACCCCUGAAAUCCAGGAGUAAUACUCCAGUGAGGAGUACCUAAGUAUACAACCAUGGAUUCCUAAGGAUAAUGGAGAAGAAAAGUCCUUUAAAAUGAUAAAUUUAAGAAAGAAUUGCAGGUGAC
rnacentral:lncRNA from 1 species